rnacentral:rRNA from 1 species
CGUAGGGUGCGAGCGUUGUCCGGAAUUAUUGGGCGUAAAGAGCUUGUAGGCGGUUUGUCGCGUCUGCUGUGAAAAUCCGGGGCUCAACCCCGGACUUGCAGUGGGUACGGGCAGACUAGAGUGUGGUAGGGGAGACUGGAAUUCCUGGUGUAGCGGUGGAGUGCGCAGAUAUCAGGAGGAACACCGAUGGCGAAGGCAGGUCUCUGGGCCACUACUGACGCUGAGAAGCGAAAGCAUGGGGAGCGAACAGGAUUAGAUACCCUGGUAGUCCAUGCCGUAAACGUUGGGAACUAGGUGUGGGUCUCAUUCCACGAGAUCCGUGCCGCAGCUAACGCAUUAAGUUCCCCGCCUGGGGAGUACGGCCGCAAGGCUA